rnacentral:lncRNA from 1 species
AGUGCUCCAGGCCUGCUUGGUGUGGACAUGGUGGUGAGCCGUGGCAAGGACCAGAAUGGAUCACAGAUGAUCGUUGGCCAACAGGUGGCAGAAGAGGAAUUCCUGCCUUCCUCAAGAGGAACACCUACCCCUUGGCUAAUGCUGGGGUCGGAUUUUGAUUUAUAUUUAUCUUUUGGAUGUCAGUCAUACAGUCUGAUUUUGUGGUUUGCUAGUGUUUGAAUUUAAGUCUUAAGUGACUAUUAUAGAAAUGUAUUAAGAGGCUUUAUUUGUAGAAUUCACUUUAAUUACAUUUAAUGAGUUUUUGUUUUGAGUUCCUUAAAAUUCCUUAAAGUUUUUAGCUUCUCAUUACAAAUUCCUUAACCUUUUUUUGGCAGUAGAUAGUCAAAGUCAAAUCAUUUCUAAUGUUUUAAAAAUGUGCUGGUCAUUUUCUUUGAAAUUGACUUAACUAUUUUCCUUUGAAGAGUCUGUAGCACAGAAACAGUAAAAAAUUUAACUUCAUGACCUAAUGUAAAAAAGAGUGUUUGAAGGUUUACACAGGUCCAGGCCUUGCUUUGUUCCCAUCCUUGAUGCUGCACUAAUUGACUAAUCACCUACUUAUCAGACAGGAAACUUGAAUUGCUGUGGUCUGGUGUCCUCUAUUCAGACUUAUUAUAUUGGAGUAUUUCAAUUUUUCGUUGUAUCCUGCCUGCCUAGCAUCCAGUUCCUCCCCAGCCCUGCUCCCAGCAAACCCCUAGUCUAGCCCCAGCCCUACUCCCACCCCGCCCCAGCCCUGCCCCAGCCCCAGUCCCCUAACCCCCCAGCCCUAGCCCCAGUCCCAGUCCUAGUUCCUCAGUCCCGCCCAGCUUCUCUCGAAAGUCACUCUAAUUUUCAUUGAUUCAGUGCUCAAAAUAAGUUGUCCAUUGCUUAUCCUAUUAUACUGGGAUAUUCCGUUUACCCUUGGCAUUGCUGAUCUUCAGUACUGACUCCUUGACCAUUUUCAGUUAAUGCAUACAAUCCCAUUUGUCUGUGAUCUCAGGACAAAGAAUUUCCUUACUCGGUACGUUGAAGUUAGGGAAUGUCAAUUGAGAGCUUUCUAUCAGAGCAUUAUUGCCCACAAUUUGAGUUACUUAUCAUUUUCUCGAUCCCCUGCCCUUAAAGGAGAAACCAUUUCUCUGUCAUUGCUUCUGUAGUCACAGUCCCAAUUUUGAGUAGUGAUCUUUUCUUGUGUACUGUGUUGGCCACCUAAAACUCUUUGCAUUGAGUAAAAUUCUAAUUGCCAAUAAUCCUACCCAUUGGAUUAGACAGCACUCUGAACCCCAUUUGCAUUCAGCAGGGGGUCGCAGACAACCCGUCUUUUGUUGGACAGUUAAAAUGCUCAGUCCCAAUUGUCAUAGCUUUGCCUAUUAAACAAAGGCACCCUACUGCGCUUUUUGCUGUGCUUCUGGAGAAUCCUGCUGUUCUUGGACAAUUAAAGAACAAAGUAGUAAUUGCUAAUUGUCUCACCCAUUAAUCAUGAAGACUACCAGUCGCCCUUGCAUUUGCCUUGAGGCAGCGCUGACUACCUGAGAUUUAAGAGUUUCUUAAAUUAUUGAGUAAAAUCCCAAUUAUCCAUAGUUCUGUUAGUUACACUAUGGCCUUUGCAAACAUCUUUGCAUAACAGCAGUGGGACUGACUCAUUCUUAGAGCCCCUUCCCUUGGAAUAUUAAUGGAUACAAUAGUAAUUAUUCAUGGUUCUGCGUAACAGAGAAGACCCACUUAUGUGUAUGCCUUUAUCAUUGCUCCUAGAUAGUGUGAACUACCUACCACCUUGCAUUAAUAUGUAAAACACUAAUUGCCCAUAGUCCCACUCAUUAGUCUAGGAUGUCCUCUUUGCCAUUGCUGCUGAGUUCUGACUACCCAAGUUUCCUUCUCUUAAACAGUUGAUAUGCAUAAUUGCAUAUAUUCAUGGUUCUGUGCAAUAAAAAUGGAUUCUCACCCCAUCCCACCUUCUGUGGGAUGUUGCUAACGAGUGCAGAUUAUUCAAUAACAGCUCUUGAACAGUUAAUUUGCACAGUUGCAAUUGUCCAGAGUCCUGUCCAUUAGAAAGGGACUCUGUAUCCUAUUUGCACGCUACAAUGUGGGCUGAUCACCCAAGGACUCUUCUUGUGCAUUGAUGUUCAUAAUUGUAUUUGUCCACGAUCUUGUGCACUAACCCUUCCACUCCCUUUGUAUUCCAGCAGGGGACCCUUACUACUCAAGACCUCUGUACUAGGACAGUUUAUGUGCACAAUCCUAAUUGAUUAGAACUGAGUCUUUUAUAUCAAGGUCCCUGCAUCAUCUUUGCUUUACAUCAAGAGGGUGCUGGUUACCUAAUGCCCCUCCUCCAGAAAUUAUUGAUGUGCAAAAUGCAAUUUCCCUAUCUGCUGUUAGUCUGGGGUCUCAUCCCCUCAUAUUCCUUUUGUCUUACAGCAGGGGGUACUUGGGACUGUUAAUGCGCAUAAUUGCAAUUAUGGUCUUUUCCAUUAAAUUAAGAUCCCAACUGCUCACACCCUCUUAGCAUUACAGUAGAGGGUGCUAAUCACAAGGACAUUUCUUUUGUACUGUUAAUGUGCUACUUGCAUUUGUCCCUCUUCCUGUGCACUAAAGACCCCACUCACUUCCCUAGUGUUCAGCAGUGGAUGACCUCUAGUCAAGACCUUUGCACUAGGAUAGUUAAUGUGAACCAUGGCAACUGAUCACAACAAUGUCUUUCAGAUCAGAUCCAUUUUAUCCUCCUUGUUUUACAGCAAGGGAUAUUAAUUACCUAUGUUACCUUUCCCUGGGACUAUGAAUGUGCAAAAUUCCAAUGUUCAUGGUCUCUCCCUUUAAACCUAUAUUCUACCCCUUUUACAUUAUAGAAAGGGAUGCUGGAAACCCAGAGUCCUUCUCUUGGGACUCUUAAUGUGUAUUUCUAAUUAUCCAUGACUCUUAAUGUGCAUAUUUUCAAUUGCCUAAUUGAUUUCAAUUGUCUAAGACAUUUCAAAUGUCUAAUUGAUUAGAACUGAGUCUUUUAUAUCAAGCUAAUAUCUAGCUUUUAUAUCAAGCUAAUAUCUUGACUUCUCAGCAUCAUAGAAGGGGGUACUGAUUUCCUAAAGUCUUUCUUGAAUUUCUAUUAUGCAAAAUUGCCCUGAGGCCGGGUGUGGUGGCUCACACCUGUAAUCCCAGCACUUUGGGAGGCUGAGGUGGGAAGAUCCCUUACUGCCAGGAGUUUGAGACCAGCCUGGCCAACAUUAAAAAAAAAAAAAAGUAAGACAAUUGCCCUGGAAUCCCAUCCCCCUCACACCUCCUUGGCAAAGCAGCAGGAGUGCUAACUAGCUAGUGCUUCUUCUCUUAUACUGCUUAAAUGCGCAUAAUUAGCAGUAGUUGAUGUGCCCCUAUGUUAGAGUAGAAUCCCGCUUCCUUGCUCCAUUUGCAUUACUGCAGGAGCUUCUAACUAGCCUGAAUUCACUCUCUUGGACUGUUAAUGUGCAUACUUAUAUUUGCUGCUGUACUUUUUUACCAUGUAAGGACCCCACCCACUGUAUUUACAUCCCAGCUGGAAGUACCUACUACUUAAGACCCUUAGACUAGUAAAGUUAGCGUGCAUAAUCUUAGGUGUUAUAUACACAUUUUCAGUUGCAUACAGUUGUGCCUUUUAUCAGGACUCCUGUACUUAUCAAAGCAGAGAGUGCUAAUCAAUAUUAAGCCCUUCUCUUCGAACUGUAGAUGGCAUGUAAUUGCAGUUGUCAAUGGUCCUUCAAUUAGACUUGGGUUUCUGACCUAUCACACCCUCUUUGCUUUAUUGCAUGGGGUACUAUUCACUUAAGGCCCCUUUCUCAAACUGUUAAUGUGCCUAAUGACAAUUACAUCAGUAUCCUUCCUUUUGAAGGACAGCAUGGUUGGUGACACCUAAGGCCCCAUUUCUUGGCCUCCCAAUAUGUGUGAUUGUAUUUGUCGAGGUUGCUAUGCACUAGAGAAGGAAAGUGCUCCCCUCAUCCCCACUUUUCCCUUCCAGCAGGAAGUGCCCACCCCAUAAGACCCUUUUAUUUGGAGAGUCUAGGUGCACAAUUGUAAGUGACCACAAGCAUGCAUCUUGGACAUUUAUGUGCGUAAUCGCACACUGCUCAUUCCAUGUGAAUAAGGUCCUACUCUCCGACCCCUUUUGCAAUACAGAAGGGUUGCUGAUAACGCAGUCCCCUUUUCUUGGCAUGUUGUGUGUGAUUAUAAUCGUCUGGGAUCCUAUGCACUAGAAAAGGAGGGUCCUCUCCACAUACCUCAGUCUCACCUUUCCCUUCCAGCAGGGAGUGCCCACUCCAUAAGACUCUCACAUUUGGACAGUCAAGGUGCGUAAUUGUUAAGUGAACACAACCAUGCACCUUAGACAUGGAUUUGCAUAACUACACACAGCUCAACCUAUCUGAAUAAAAUCCUACUCUCAGACCCCUUUUGCAGUACAGCAGGGGUGCUGAUCACCAAGGCCCUUUUUCCUGGCCUGGUAUGCGUGUGAUUAUGUUUGUCCCGGUUCCUGUGUAUUAGACAUGGAAGCCUCCCCUGCCACACUCCACCCCCAAUCUUCCUUUCCCUUCCGGCAGGGAGUGCCCUCUCCAUAAGACGCUUACGUUUGGACAAUCAAGGUGCACAGUUGUAAGUGACCACAGGCAUACACCUUGGACAUUAAUGUGCAUAACCACUUUGCCCAUUCCAUCUGAAUAAGGUCCUACUCUCAGACCCCUUUUGCAGUACAGCAGGGGUGCUGAUCACCAAGGCCCCUUUUCUUGGCCUGUUAUGUGCGUGAUUAUAUUUGUCUGGGUUCCUGUGUAUUAGACAAGGAAGCCUUCCCCCCGCCCCCACCCCCACUCCCAGUCUUCCUUUCCCUUCCAGCAGGGAGUGCCCCCUCCAUAAGAUCAUUACAUUUGGACAAUCAAGGUGCACAAUUAUAAGUGACCACAGCCAUGCACCUUGGACAUUAUUGGACAUUAAUGUGCGUAACUGCACAUGGCCCAUCCCAUCUGAAUAAGGUCCUACUCUCAGAUGCCCUUUGCAGUACAGCAGGGGUACUGAAUCACCAAGGCCCUUUUUCUUGGCCUGUUAUGUGUGUGAUUAUAUUUAUCCCAGUUUCUGUGUAAUAGACAUGAAAGCCUCCCCUGCCACACCCCACCUCCAAUCUUCCUUUCCCUUCCACCAGGGAGUGUCCACUCCAUAUACCCUUACAUUUGGACAAUCAAGGUGCACAAUUGUAAGUGAGCAUAGGCACUCACCUUGGACAUGAAUGUGCAUAACUGCACAUGGCCCAUCCCAUCUGAAUAAGGUCCUACUCUCAGACCCUUUUUGCAGUACAGCAGGGGUGCUGAUCACCAAGGCCCCUUUUCCUGGCCUGUUAUGUGUGUGAUUAUAUUUGUUCCAGUUCCUGUGUAAUAGACAUGGAAGCCUCCCCUGCCACACUCCACCCCCAAUCUUCCUUUCCCUUCUGGCAGGAAGUACCCGCUCCAUAAGACCCUUACAUUUGGACAGUCAAGGUGCACAAUUGUAUGUGACCACAACCAUGCACCUUGGACAUAAAUGUGUGUAACUGCACAUGGCCCAUCCCAUCUGAAUAAGGUCCUACUCUCAGACCCCUUUUGCAGUACAGUAGGUGUGCUGAUAACCAAGGCCCCUCUUCCUGGCCUGUUAACGUAUGUGAUUAUAUUUGUCUGGGUUCCAGUGUAUAAGACAUGGAAGCCUCCCCUGCCCCACCCCACCCUCAAUCUUCCUUUCCCUUCUGGCAGGGAGUGCCAGCUCCAUAAGAACCUUACAUUUGGACAGUCAAGGUGCACAAUUCUAAGUGACCGCAGCCAUGCACCUUGGUCAAUAAUGUGUGUAACUGCACACGGCCUAUCUCAUCUGAAUAAGGCCUUACUCUCAGACCCCUUUUGCAGUACAGCAGGGGUGCUGAUAACCAAGGCCCAUUUUCCUGGCCUGUUAUGUGUGUGAUUAUAUUUGUCCAGGUUUCUGUGUACUAGACAAGGAAGCCUCCUCUGCCCCAUCCCAUCUACGCAUAAUCUUUCUUUUCCUCCCAGCAGGGAGUGCUCACUCCAUAAGACCCUUACAUUUGGACAAUCAAGGUGCACAAUUGUAAGUGACCACAACCAUGCAUCUUGGAAAUUUAUGUGCAUAACUGCACAUGGCUUAUCCUAUUUGAAUAAAGUCCUACUCUCAGACCCCCUUUGCAGUAUAGCUGGGGUGCUGAUCACUGAGGCCUCUUUGCUUGGCUUGUCUAUAUUCUUGUGUACUAGAUAAGGGCACCUUCUCAUGGACUCCCUUUGCUUUUCAACAAGGAGUACCCACUACUUUUUAAGAUUCUUAUAUUUGUCCAAAGUACAUGGUUUUAAUUGACCACAACAAUGUCCCUUGGACAUUAAUGUAUGUAAUCACCACAUGGUUCAUCCUAAUUAAACAAAGUUCUACCUUCUCACCCUCCAUUUGCAGUAUACCAGGGUUGCUGACCCCCUAAGUCCCCUUUUCUUGGCUUGUUGACAUGCAUAAUUGCAUUUAUGUUGGUUCUUGUGCCCUAGACAAGGAUGCCCCACCUCUUUUCAAUAGUGGGUGCCCACUCCUUAUGAUCUUUACAUUUGAACAGUUAAUGUGAAUAAUUGCAGUUGUCCACAACCCUAUCACUUCUAGGACCAUUAUACCUCUUUUGCAUUACUGUGGGGUAUACUGUUUCCCUCCAAGGCCCCUUCUGGUGGACUAUCAACAUAUAAUUGAAAUUUUCUUUUGUCUUUGUCAGUAGAUUAAGGUCAUACCCCAUCACCUUUCCUUUGUAGUACAACAGGGUGUCCUGAUCAACCAAAGUCCUGUUGUUUUGGACUGUUAAUAUGUGCAAUUACAUUUGCUCCUGAUCUGUGCACUAGAUAAGGAUCCUACCUACUUUCUUAGUGUUUUUAGCAGGUAGUGCCCACUACUCAAGACUGUCACUUGGAAUGUUCAUGUGCACAAACUCAAUUCUCUAAGCAUGUUCCUGUACCACCUUUGCUUUAGAGCAGGGGGAUGAUAUUCACUAAGUGCCCCUUCUUUUGGACUUAAUAUGCAUUAAUGCAAUUGUCCACCUCUUCUUUUAGACUAAGAGUUGAUCUCCACAUAUUCCCCUUGCAUCAGGGGCAUGUUAAUUAUGAAUGAACCCUUUUCUUUUAAUAUUAAUGUCAUAAUUGUAUUUGUGGACCUGUGUAGGAGAAAAAGACCCUAUGUUCCUCCCAUUACCCUUUGGAUUGCUGCUGAGAAGUGUUAACUACUCAUAAUCUCAGCUCUUGGACAAUUAAUAGCAUUAAUAACAAUUAUCAAGGGCACUGAUCAUUAGAUAAGACUCCUGCUUCCUCGUUGCUUACAUCGGGGGUACUGACCCACUAAGGCCCCUUGUACUGUUAAUGUGAAUAUUUGCAAUUAUAUAUGUCUCCUUCUGGUAGAGUGGGAUAUUAUGCCCUAGUAUCCCCUUUGCAUUACUGCAGGGGCUGCUGACUACUCAAAACUUCUCCUGGGACUGUUAAUAGGCACAAUGGCAGUUAUCAAUGGUUUUCUCCCUCCCUGACCUUGUUAAGCAAGCGCCCCACCCCACCCUUAGUUUCCCAUGGCAUAAUAAAGUAUAAGCAUUGGAGUAUUCCAUGCACUUGUCUAUCAAACAGUGGUCCAUACUCCCAACCCUUUUGCAUUGCGCCAGUGUGUAAAAUCACAGGUAGCCAUGGUGUCAUGCUUUAUAUACGAAGUCUUCCCUCUCUCUGCCCCUUGUGUGCCCUUGGCCCCUUUUUACAGACUAUUGCUCACAAUCUCAGGUGUCCAUAUUUGCAGCUAUUAGGUAAGAUUGUGCUGUCUCCCUCUUCCCUUCCCUCUGCCCUGCCCCUUUUGCCUCUUUGCUGGGUAAUGUUGACCAGACAAGGCCCUUUCUCUUGGACUUAAACAAUUCUCAGUUGCACUUUCCUUGGUCCCACCCAUUAUACAUGAACCCCUCUACUUCCUUUCGCAUUGCUUCUGAGUAUGCUGACUACCCAAAGCCCCUUCUGUGUUAUUAAUAAACACAGUACUGAUUGUCCCAUUUUUCAGCCCAUCAGUCCAAGAUCUCCCUACCACUUUGGUGUGUUGGUGCAGUGUUGACUAUGAAAAGCAGGCCUGAACUAGGAUGUCAAAAGAUCGGCCCAGCUCAGGGAGCAGUUUGCCCUACUAGCUCCUCGGACAGCUGUAAAGAAGAGUCUCUGGCUCUUUAGAAUACUGUAAGUACUACUUCGUAGCUAUUAAGUAAUCUUUUUCCUAUUCUAUUUUCUUUCUCUUAGAUGCCACCUAUAGAAAAGUCAGAGGGUCCAGAUCCCAUUGAAGAUACCACGCUGCAUGUGUCCUUAGUAGUCAUGUCUCCUUAGGCUCCUCUUGGACAUUCUGAGCAUGUGAGACCUGAGGACUGCAAACAGCUAUAAGAGGCUCCAAAUUAAUCAUAUCUUUCCCUUUGAGAAUCUGGCCAAGCUCCAGCUAAUCUACUUGGAUGGGUUGCCAGCUAUCUGGAGAAAAAGAUCUUCCUCAGAAGAAUAGGCUUGUUGUUUUACAGUGUUAGUGAUCCAUUCCCUUUGACGAUCCCUAGGUGGAGAUGGGGCAUGAGGAUCCUCCAGGGGAAAAGCUCACUACCACUGGGCAACAACCCUAGGUCAGGAGGUUCUGUCAAGAUACUUUCCUGGUCCCAGAUAGGAAGAUAAAGUCUCAAAAACAACCACCACACGUCAAGGAGAACAUGGACAACUGUCACAUCAGUGACAUUGAUCACAUGGGCAAAUCAUUCUGUUCCAUGUGGUCCCCAAAGUCUCUCUUAAAGCCUUACAGAAGAACUUUGCCAAUCAUUUACAUACUUCAGGAUGGCUUGGGAUGCCAUGGUGUAUAAUACAACAAGUGAGAGCUCUUCAUUGUUCCUAUCUGCCAAAUCAUUAUACUUCCUACAAGCAGUGCAGAGAGCUGAGUCUUCAGCAGGUCCAAGAAAUUUGAACACACUGAAGGAAGUCAGCCUUCCCACCUGAAGAUCAACAUGCCUGGCACUCUAGCACUUGAGGAUAGCUGAAUGAAUGUGUAUUUCUUUGUCUCUUUCUUUCUUGUCUUUGCUCUUUGUUCUCUAUCUAAAGUGUGUCUUACCCAUUUCCAUGUUUCUCUUGCUAAUUUCUUUCGUGUGUGCCUUUGCCUCAUUUUCUCUUUUUGUUCACAAGAGUGGUCUGUGUCUUGUCUUAGACAUAUCUCUCAUUUUUCAUUUUGUUGCUAUUUCUCUUUGCUCUCCUAGAUGUGGCUCUUCUUUCACGCUUUAUUUCAUGUCUCCUUUUUGGGUCACAUGCUGUGUGCUUUUUGUCCUUUUCUUGUUCUGUCUACCUCUCCUUUCUCUGCCUACCUCUCUUUUCUCUUUGUGAACUGUGAUUAUUUGUUACCCCUUCCCCUUCUCGUUCGUUUUAAAUUUCACCUUUUUUCUGAGUCUGGCCUCCUUUCUGCUGUUUCUACUUUUUAUCUCACAUUUCUCAUUUCUGCAUUUCCUUUCUGCCUCUCUUGGGCUAUUCUCUCUCUCCUCCCCUGCGUGCCUCAGCAUCUCUUGCUGUUUGUGAUUUUCUAUUUCAGUAUUAAUCUCUGUUGGCUUGUAUUUGUUCUCUGCUUCUUCCCUUUCUACUCACCUUUGAGUAUUUCAGCCUCUUCAUGAAUCUAUCUCCCUCUCUUUGAUUUCAUGUAAUCUCUCCUUAAAUAUUUCUUUGCAUAUGUGGGCAAGUGUACGUGUGUGUGUGUCAUGUGUGGCAGAGGGGCUUCCUAACCCCUGCCUGAUAGGUGCAGAACGUCGGCUAUCAGAGCAAGCAUUGUGGAGCGGUUCCUUAUGCCAGGCUGCCAUGUGAGAUGAUCCAAGACCAAAACAAGGCCCUAGACUGCAGUAAAACCCAGAACUCAAGUAGGGCAGAAGGUGGAAGGCUCAUAUGGAUAGAAGGCCCAAAGUAUAAGACAGAUGGUUUGAGACUUGAGACCCGAGGACUAAGAUGGAAAGCCCAUGUUCCAAGAUAGAUAGAAGCCUCAGGCCUGAAACCAACAAAAGCCUCAAGAGCCAAGAAAACAGAGGGUGGCCUGAAUUGGACCGAAGGCCUGAGUUGGAUGGAAGUCUCAAGGCUUGAGUUAGAAGUCUUAAGACCUGGGACAGGACACAUGGAAGGCCUAAGAACUGAGACUUGUGACACAAGGCCAACGACCUAAGAUUAGCCCAGGGUUGUAGCUGGAAGACCUACAACCCAAGGAUGGAAGGCCCCUGUCACAAAGCCUACCUAGAUGGAUAGAGGACCCAAGCGAAAAAGGUAUCUCAAGACUAACGGCCGGAAUCUGGAGGCCCAUGACCCAGAACCCAGGAAGGAUAGAAGCUUGAAGACCUGGGGAAAUCCCAAGAUGAGAACCCUAAACCCUACCUCUUUUCUAUUGUUUACACUUCUUACUCUUAGAUAUUUCCAGUUCUCCUGUUUAUCUUUAAGCCUGAUUCUUUUGAGAUGUACUUUUUGAUGUUGCCGGUUACCUUUAGAUUGACAGUAUUAUGCCUGGGCCAGUCUUGAGCCAGCUUUAAAUCACAGCUUUUACCUAUUUGUUAGGCUAUAGUGUUUUGUAAACUUCUGUUUCUAUUCACAUCUUCUCCACUUGAGAGAGACACCAAAAUCCAGUCAGUAUCUAAUCUGGCUUUUGUUAACUUCCCUCAGGAGCAGACAUUCAUAUAGGUGAUACUGUAUUUCAGUCCUUUCUUUUGACCCCAGAAGCCCUAGACUGAGAAGAUAAAAUGGUCAGGUUGUUGGGGAAAAAAAAGUGCCAGGCUCUCUAGAGAAAAAUGUGAAGAGAUGCUCCAGGCCAAUGAGAAGAAUUAGACAAGAAAUACACAGAUGUGCCAGACUUCUGAGAAGCACCUGCCAGCAACAGCUUCCUUCUUUGAGCUUAGUCCAUCCCUCAUGAAAAAUGACUGACCACUGCUGGGCAGCAGGAGGGAUGAUGACCAACUAAUUCCCAAACCCCAGUCUCAUUGGUACCAGCCUUGGGGAACCACCUACACUUGAGCCACAAUUGGUUUUGAAGUGCAUUUACAAGUUUCUGGCAUCACUACCACUACUGAUUAAACAAGAAUAAGAGAACAUUUUAUCAUCAUCUGCUUUAUUCACAUAAAUGAAGUUGUGAUGAAUAAAUCUGCUUUUAUGCAGACACAAGGAAUUAAGUGGCUUCGUCAUUGUCCUUCUACCUCAAAGAUAAUUUAUUCCAAAAGCUAAGAUAAAUGGAAGACUCUUGAACUUGUGAACUGAUGUGAAAUGCAGAAUCUCUUUUGAGUCUUUGCUGUUUGGAAGAUUGAAAAAUAUUGUUCAGCAUGGGUGACCACCAGAAAGUAAUCUUAAGCCAUCUAGAUGUCACAAUUGAAACAAACUGGGGAGUUGGUUGCUAUUGUAAAAUAAAAUAUACUGUUUUGAAAACUUUGUAUUUUGAUGUGACAAUUUCUAACUCACUGUCCCUAA